UUUCAGUACGUACAAUCCAAAUACGCUUAAAUUCGGUUUUUGUCUUCCGAUGUGUUGUUUUGCUAUUGGAGUGAACCUUAUCGAUGGCCAUUAUUACCCACAACUAUGAACCUGUUUGGUGGCCAUUAUUACACAUAGCUAUGAACUUGUCGACAACUUUCAAUCUCAGCAGCGGCAGCACCUAUCAGUUUUCUCUCUAUGACACACUAUGAGGCCAUUGCAAUGCAAACAGAUCUGAAGAAAUGAACUCAAUCACAGCAGCGCCAACACAAUAUGAGGUUGGAAUUUAAUUUCAUCAAUUUUCUCUCUAACUGAUAUUCGGAUCUGAAAAAAAAAGGAAGGAAGAAAACAGAUCAGUGCUGCCAUAGAUAUGCUGCCAUGGAUGAAGAAAACAAAUCUGUCAAUAAAUUAAAAAAGAAAAAGGAACAUGUGUAUGCCGAACCAUGGAUGUUCCUCGUUCUUCUUUUUUCGUUUUCGGAUUAUGUAUUCCGAAUAUCAAUAUUCCAAGAUUGAGGGGUAAUUUUGAUAACAUAUUUGUUACUGCUUAAUUUUUAAUUAGUUGCUAGAUGUUAUGAGUAAAAUAUUUUGCUGUUUUAUUUGUCCUAGUCUUUAGGAAGUAGUUGUUUCUCUAAUUAAGUCGUGUGAUUGUUUUGUUUAAUGGGCUAUUUUAUACUUUUUCAGUUGGUAGUUGUAUUGGCUAUUUAAUAGCUUCUUCACUAUGAAUAAAGUAGCAGUUUCAGUUUCUAGUAUAUUUCAUAUCUCUACAAACUGGUAUCAGAGCCCCCACUGGGCCUGAUAAAAACAAUUAAGCUGCAGUUUAGCUAAGAAAAAAAGAGAGAAACACAAAAGAUGAGUGACGGAAAGCUUUCAGCAAAAAUUCUUCAUUUUGAUGGUCUCCAUUAUGAUCAUUGGAGUGAAUUGAUGGAGAAUCUUCUUCGUGCCAAAGGUCUCUGCCCCAUGAUUGAAAUGGAUUACUAGGAACCUAUUGAAAUGACUGUGCUUACUGACGAACAAUUAGAGCUGCUGCAAGAUGCCAAAACCAAUGAUCACAAGGUCAAACAUUAUCUUUUCAGGGCAAUUGAUAGAUCAGUGUUUGAACAAAUCUUGGAUAGGCGCACUGCCAAGAGUGUUUGGGAUUCUCUGAAAAAAAAAGUACGGGGGAAAUGAUCGCGUGAAGAAGUCAAUGCUAAACUCUUUGAGAAGAAAGUUUGAGGUGCUGGAAAUGAAAGAUGCAGAAACCAUCACUGGAUAUUUUGCUAGAGUAAUGACUGUGGCCAACAAAAUGAGAAGCAACGGAGAGGUCAUGUCUGACUCAAAAGUGGUGCAGAAAAUUCUUCGAACAUUGACAGAGAAAUUCACCUGUGUAGUGGUUUCAAUUGAGGAGUCAAAAGAUACAGAAGAAAUGUCCAUUGACGAGCUUCAAAGUUCUCUGGUUGUUCAUGAACAAAAGUUUAAAAGAGUCAACCGUGACGGUGAGCAAGCUCUGAAGGUGGAAAGUAGUAGAGGAAGAGGAGGAUACCGUGGAAGAGGACGCGGAAGAGGGAGACAAUCUUUCACAAAGGACACAAUGGAGUGUUUUAAGUGUCAUAAGUUGCGGCAUUUUCAAUAUGAAUGUCCUGAAUGGAACAAAGAAACGAAUUAUGCAGAAUUGGAUGAUGAUGAAGAGCUUCUUCUAAUGGCUCUUGUAGAAGAAAAUGAAGCAAAGCGAAAUGAUGCAUGGUUCUUGGACUCGGGGUGUUCUAAUCAUAUGUGCGGAGACAAAGGUUUGUUCUUAAACAUGGUAGAAGGACAUAAGCACUUUGUUAAAUGUGGAAACAACUCUCGGAUGUCAGUGAGUGGAAAAGGCAGUGUCAGACUGGUGUUUAAUGGCACUAGUUUUCUCGUUCAAGAUGUAUAUUAUGUUCUACAGCUUCGAAAUAAUUUGUUGAGUGUGAGACAGCAGCAAGAAAAAGAUCUCACCAUUCUCAUAAAAAAUGGAAUGUGCAAUAUUUAUCAUCCUAACAAAGGAUUAAUUGCAUACACCAAUAUGAGUGCCAAUCGUAUGUUUAUUCUCUUCAAUAAAAGCUCCAACAUCACUACUCAUGUUGAAGAGUGUCCUCAUACUUCAUCUGAACUCACAUAUCUUUGGCAUCAAAGGUAUGGCCAUCUAAACUACAAAGGUCUAAAGACGCUGAAGACAAAGAAAAUGGUGCGUGGUCUGCCUCAACUAGAAGUCUCAAGUGUCACUUGUGCUCAUUGUUUCACCGGCAAACAACAUCGCAAUCCAAUUCCUAAGAAGAGUGAAUGGCGUGCCAGAAAGGUCUUGGAACUCAUACAUGCAGACAUUUGCGGACCAAUAGAACCAGUCUCAAACAGUGGAAAAAGGUAUCUCUUAUGCUUCAUUGAUGACUAUAGUCGAAAGGGCUGGGUUUAUUUUCUUUUUGAAAAAUCAGAAGCAUUGGAAUGUUUCAAAAUUUUCAAAAGUCAGGUUGAAAAGGAAGCAGAGGAAUCCAUCACGUGUUUGCGGACAGAUAGAGGGGGGGAGUUUAACUCUCUCAAUUUCAAAACCUUUUGUGAAAAGGAAGGAAUAAAGAGACAACUCACCACAGCAUAUACACCACACCAAAAUGGAGUAGCAGAACGCAAAAAUAGAACCGUGAUGAACAUGGUGCGUUGCAUGCUAUCUGCAAAACGCGUUCCUAAACUGUUUUGGGCUGAAGCUGCAAAGUGGACUUUCUACCUAUUGAAUCAAUGUCCAACACAUGCCGUAAAGAAUAUCACUCCUCAAGAAGCUUGGAGUGGAGUUAAGCCCUCUGUUCAACACCUUCGUGUUUGGGGCUGCAUAGCUCAUGUGCAUAUACCAGAAGCGUAAGCUUGAUGAUAAAAGUUUUCCUUAUAUUAUGUUGGGUAUGAGUAAUGAGUCAAAGGGUUACCGUCUGUUUGAUCCUAAGACUAAGAGGAUUGUUGUUAGUAAGGAUGUAAUAUUUGAGGAAAAAAAGAGUUGGGAUUGGGGUUUAAAUUAUAAAGAACAAAUAGAUGCAGAUUAGUAGUGAUGAAAGUGAGGGGGAGCACGGAAGUGAAAAUGAUGGUGAGUGUGAUGAUGAAAAUAAUGAUAAUGAAGAAAUAAGUCCUCGUGAAAAUGUGACUCAAGGGAGAGAAAAGAGACCACCAGGUUGGAUGCAAGAUUUUGUAAGUGGUGAAGGGUUGAGUGAAGAAGAGGAAGCAGAAACCUACAUGGUACAAGAUGACAUGGGUGAUGAUCCGAUUCUAUUUGAGGAAGCGGUGAAGCAUGAGAAAUGAAGGAAAGCCAUGGAUAGUGAAAUAAAGUCAAUUGAAAAGAACCAAACAUGGGAGCUUUUAGAUCUACCUACAGGAGCAAAAAUAAUUGGAGUUAAAUGGAUUUUCAAGACAAAGUUAAAUGAGAAGGGUGAAGUAGACAAGUACAAAGCUCGAUUGGUGGUAAAGGGGUAUUCCCGACAACAUGGAAUUGAUUUUACAGAAGUAUUUGCUCCAGUUGCUCGCAUGGAUACAAUAAGAAUGAUUGUGGCUCUUGCGGCAUGUAGAGGAUGGGACAUCUUUCAAUUAGAUGUAAAAUCUGCAUUUCUUCAUGGAGAAUUAAGGGAAGAUGUGUAUGUUCAUCAACCAAAGGGAUAUGUGAAGAAAGGAAAAGAGAACAAGGUCUACAAGUUACAUAAAGCUUUGUAUAGCUUGAAGCAAGCCCCUAGAGCAUGGUUCAGCCGCAUAGAGUCUCAGUUUGUGAAGGAAGGCUUUCAAAAAUGUCCAAAUGAACAAACCUUGUUCAUCAAAAGAAGUACCGGAGGUAGCAUAUUAAUUGUUAGUAUUUAUGUUGAUGAUUUGAUAUAUACAGGCGAUGAUAAAGGUAUGAUGGUUGAGUUCAAAAAAUCUAUGAUGGAAGCCUUCGACAUGACUGAUUUGGGGAAGAUGAGAUUCUUUCUUGGCAUUGAAAUUUUGCAAAAAUCUGAAGGAAUUUUCAUAUGCCAAAGAAAAUAUGCCACUGAUAUUUUAAAGAAGUUUACAAUGUCUGAGAGCAAGCCUGUUAACAGUCCAAUUGUUCCAGGUUCCAAGAUUAAUAGGGAUGUUAACGGGGCUGCUGUUGAUGAUACUUAUUUCAAGCAGAUUGUUGGAAGUCUAAUGUACCUUACCGCUACAAGACCAGAUAUCAUGUUUAGUGUAAGCUUAAUUAGCCGGUAUAUGUCAAAACCAACUGAGUUGCAUUUACAAGCUGCUAAAAGGAUACUAAGGUAUUUGAAGGGAACUACAAGCUAUGGGAUAUUCUACAAGAAGGGAGGGGAACAGACUUGCUUGCUUUUACGGAUUCUGAUUUGAGAUGAAGAAGAUUCUAAAAGCACAUUAGGUUAUGUUUUCUUAUUAAGUUCUGGAGCUGUGUCAUGGAUGUCCAAGAAGCAACCAAUUGUUACUCUCUCAACAACUGAAGCUGAAUUUGUGGCUGCUGCUACAAGUGCAUGUCAAGCUGUGUGGAUGAGAAGGAUUUUGAAAAAUAUAAGUCAUGUUCAAGAAGGUAGAACUGUGAUCAUGUGUGAUAACAACUCAACAAUUAAACUUUCAAAAAAUUCAGAUAUGCAUGGAAAGAGCAAACAUACCAGAGUUCGUUUUCAUUUUUUAAGAGAUCUUGUAAAGGAUGGAGAAAUUGAGCUAGUUCACUGAGUAACUCAGGAGCAGGUUGCAGAUUUGAUGACUAAAGCAUUGAAGGUUGAGGCAUUCCAGAAGCUAAGAAAGAAGAUGGGAAUGCUUGAUUUCACUGAAGUAAACUAGUAGCAUUCUACAACUAGUUUAAGGGAGGGAAUGAUAAGAUAUUUGUUACUGCUUAAUUUCUAAUUAGUUGCUAGAUGUUAGGAGUAAAAUAUUUUACUGUUUUAUUUGUCCUAGUCUUUAGGAAGUAGUUGUUUCUCUAAUUAAGUCGUGUGAUUGUUUUGUUUAGUGGGCUAUUUUAUAGCUUUUCAGUUGCUAGUUGUAUUGGCUAUUUAAUAGCCUCUUCACUAUGAAUAAAGUAGCAGUUUCAGUUUCUAGUAUAUUUCAUAUCUC
rnacentral:lncRNA from 1 species